rnacentral:tRNA from 1 species
GCCUCCGUAGGCCAAGUGGCAGAACACUGGUCUGUAAACCAGAGGUCGUGGGUUCAAUCCUCACAGCGAGCC